GAUAUUCAGGAUACUUUGGCAUGGUAUUCUCAGGUUUAUGACCAGAGAUACAGCUCAGUGAUGUACUCUGAGUAAAUGUUACGAUUUACUAGCUGGAUUAUUAAGUUUAUAGUACUGUUACACAAAACUGUAAGUAAAAUGAGACCCCCUUUCCUCUGAAUUGGUAUGGAAUGGCUUGCUGUAUCUAAAAGGUGCAAAAAAUGAACAAGAGCACUAUUUGAGGAUUGAGUUUAUGGUAAUAAAGUACUUUUAUAAAAUGCUACAAGAAGUGGCACAGUGAUUCAAAUUUUAUAGGUAGAUAUCACUGGUAUCAUUUUCAGUGUUAAGAAACAAAUGCCAAAAUGAUAAAUAUUUAGCCUAAUUGCUUUAGGUUCUCAGUAAAAUACUUUUCUUGGUGUGGCCAUGUGCCAUGAUGCUACUAAAUCUUUGGUUCAAACAAAGUAGGGCCCAUGAAGGAGGAGAAACAGCCCUACAUUCCAGUGGCUAGAAAACUUGAUUUAGAAUUCAGUUUUGCCUAAGGGCCCACUUAAUGACUCAUUUUUUUCUAUACUAUGUUCUGUGGCUGUCAGCUUAAGGGAAUGUUAGCUUUAGUUUGUGGCAAUUAAGGACUAUAGUUGUGGGGCACCUGGCUGGCUCAGUCAGUAGAGCACGCAACUCUUGAUCUCGGGGUUGUGAGUUCGAGCUCCACAUUGGAUGUAGAGAUCACUUAAAAAUCAAAAAAAAAUAUCUUUGAAAAAAAGAUUGUGCAUGAACAGCAAUAAGGCAUUUGUACCUUACUAAUGUCCUGUAAGAAAGAAAAACUUGCCUAUGGCCUUUUUCAAAGUUAAGUUUUUAAAUAAGGGAAAGGGAAAGUUUUUAAAUAAGGGAAAGACACAUUUACUGAGCGCUUGCUUUCACUAGCAUUAGCUCUUAAUCCAUAAUAUGUUUUUUCUUUUUAUUUUUUAUAAAUGAAGAAACAAAAUUAGAUUGGUUAAAUAACUUGCCUAUUUCUAAAUAAUUGGUCUUUGCAUAAACUGUUUCUCAAAGAACUUUUAGAUCUGUUUCCUAAUUUUCUCGUGAACUGAAUUUUAUUCCAGAGGAAUCCUGUGAAGGUCUGUUUUAUUCAGCAUAGUUUUACAGGUGAUGAAAAUGAGGAAAGAAAGGUUAAGUAAAUUUUAGUCGUGGAACCCAGGAUGAUAAUGAGUUCUCUUGAUUCUUACAAUUAUAAUGAAUGGUAAGAAUUUGAGGUAAGAAGAAAUGUAACAGUAUAUUUUAUAUCUCCAGAUACGCUAUUAUUAGUUAUAAGGAUAAUCUCACAUUUGUUCUAUUCAAAUGGAUUCUAGAUAAAGAUAUGGAGGUCAAAGGGGGUAAUGGGAGAAAAUAGGGAAAAGAGGAGAAAGAUUUUUUUCUAAAAAAAGGAGAAAAGUUUGAUUUGUGGAUUUUAAAUAAACUACUGACAUAUUGCUGCCUCGACUUAAAAACCCACCAAGUAAUUUCAGAAGCUUAUUCAGUACUUAUAUAAAAUUAUUUACAGCACAAUUCCUUAUAAUUCCCAUAUUAUCAGAUAACUGGUAUAGUAUAAUUCUCAAAUGCCAAACCAAUGAGAAAUUUAUCUUUUGGGAACACUUUUUAGAUGACAGAAACGCAAGAUUCAUUACCUUCUUUUCAUUUGCAUUUUUUUAAGUUCCUUGUUUUUCUAAGUGUGGCUCAUGGCGGAUCUGUACUUCCUGGCAGCUUAUCAGCAAUGCAGAAACUCAAGCCUAAUCCACACCUGAAAAAUACGCGCUUUAUCAAGAUUUAAUGUCUGCUUCUAAAACCUAAAUGCCUUUCUACCUCCUUAUCCAAAUACCUGACCUGGAUCGAUUCUUCCCCAUCACUUUCCUCCCCCCUAUUCGAGGGACAAUGCCAGUGGAUCAGAGCACUCUUUUCCUCACGGUGCCAAGAUGUAACCUCAGAAUCCUUCUAAGUAAAGGGUACGUCAAGAGAGACGUGAGCUCUAAAAUGAAAGCACUGGUUAAGAACAUGGGAGAAGGAAAAGACAAUUCUGAUAACAUGGGAGUGCAUAAAGAAAAUCAUAUAAAUGAAAACAACGGAAACAGGAAGUACCAUUUUACAUCUCAUUAAAAGGUAGCCUCAUUUGUGCUAAUUUCCAGCUUUGAAAAACAGAAGGUGAUGGUGACCCAAGAUGGCUCAGGGUAGUAAGUUCUUUAGUCCCCUUGGAGAAAUGUCAAACUGUUUAAAAUAAAGAGUGAGAAAGGACUGUGAAGAAAAUCUGCAAGUCACAAUCAGGUUGAGCAAGUGUAUAAAGAAGAACCAGGAUUUCUGAAUCUCAAACAGGUACUUCUGCCACUUUAUAAAGUCUACUUUAUAAAAACAGUUUUACCCCAGAAGGAUUUCUCCCAUGUCCUAGAAGAUAAAGGCUAUCACUUCCUGCCUCCCCCCAAAUAAGUUUCAAAUUUACAUUCAACAUCAAAGACCAUAAAGUAGGUUCCAUUAUUUUGAAGAUUCUUUCAGAGACAUAAAGACUGUGAACAAUUAUCUCAUACAUCUUUUUCAAUUUUCAGCAACUUUCACAGUGCUUAUACUGGGCACUAAAUAUGUUUGUUGAAUGGAUGGAUGAGUGAGUGCCUGUAUAUAAGGAAACACAUCAGAAAAUAGAAUGAAUAAUUAGCCUAUUUUUUUGAGAAUGGCUCAAAUCAAGACUCCCAAAUAUAUUUUUAGCUGGAAUGGAAUAUUAUUAGGAAUGUAUUUGAGAUACAUUUUGUAGUUCUUAAGAAAAAAUAUCCUUUAGAGGUUACUUCAGAGAGCUUUGAAAUUAGUAUGUGUUCUGCACAGAAGUUGUUUGUGUGACUUGUCAUGUAUUUCUGCCCAGAGCUGCACAUAGACAAUCAGGGGGCACUUGGUUGGUUUGUACUCUGUAUCUGGCCUUGGGAUCAGAACUGGCCCUUCUGUUCCUGAUAGCAAGAGGGAUUAACUUGUCAUCACCUCCUUGAGCCAGACCAGGCUGGCCCCGUGGGAUGCAUCAGGGAGGGAAGAGAAACGUGCACAUGCCCAGGCUCCUAAGACUGUGAGAUACGUAAGAGAAACAGAGAGAAAUUAAAAAAAAAAAAUCCAGCUCCCUCAGGACUGCAGUUAGGCAAACUUAAUGACUAAUCACAAAUCAUACAUAGGUAGUAUAUAUAUAAUGCCCUGGAGGAAUAGUUGGUUGGAAGUCUCACCUGAGGGGAGGCCAGUCUGCCAAGCAUCCUCAGUGGGGACUCCAACCUGGCUGUUCACCACGGGGCUUCUGCAGCCAGAAGGCUGGAUGCUGUGAGUACCUGAUUUGAUGUAUUAGACAAAGCCUUCUUUGUUCUUCUCUCCCUCUUAGGUUUACUAUAAUUGUUUAAUUCCUUUUAUUCCCUUUCCCUUGUAAUUAAUAAAGCUUUCCUCCAUGAAACCAAAAGUGCGGCCAUCAUGAAUUACUAUUACUCAGAGCAGUAUUUAAAAAGGAAAAAAAAAUCAUCUGUCAUAUGCCAAGCAUUGGGUUAAGCCCUCAGAUAAAUCGGUAAGCGAGAUGGACACACUGCAUGCUCAGAGUUCAAUGCUCAGAGUUCAUGCUGACUUAUUGGUUCUUACUUCACUGCAGUAAGCACUGAAUUCAUCAAUACUUUACAAAUAAGGAAAUUAAGGUUUAUGGAGGUAAAGUAAUUUAUAUUAAGAUUUGAACCUAGUUCUUUCUCUUUCAUUUGGGGACAGCUUGAGUCCCAGUUCUGCUAGUUAACAACUAUGUGAUCCUGAGCAAGUUACUUCACCUUUCUUACUUUCUGGAGUUGAAGAAUGAGGACAAUAAGAUGCCUUCCAGCUUUACCCACCUUACAUCUUACCCAUCCUACAGCUUAAAUGUAGUUAGAUGCUUUAAAAAAAAAAAGAUAUGUGUGCUAUCCUUCAUGUGUGAUGGGACAGACAAAAGGUUGAGGCACAGUAUUUUACUGCUCUGUAUUAUCCUAUUACAUAAGACGUUUGUAGUGUCAAGUUGAUUGAUAUAAAUAGGCCUUAGCAGAGGUGGAGUGAUAUUUUUAUAGUCAAAGUAGGUAUAGAGUUACUCUGUUAAUAUACUUGAAAAGCUAAUACACAAUGGGUUUCAAAUGUCAUCUUUAUCUCCUAUAUUUCUUUAGGAUACCAGAGUCAAAUGUAUAAAUCCUGCAGAAUCAAUUAUUUUCUAUUGAAUAAGUUAAAGUACAUUGUGGAUUACUUAUAAUUCUGUAACACUGGUUUGAAAUUCAGUAUACAGUUGAUCCUGUAUAUAGUUGAUCAUAUACAUGGAUGUGAGCUGUGUAGGGCCACUUCCAAGUGGAUUUUUUUCUAAUAACUAUACAUAUAGGCAUGUAUUUUUUAAAAUAUUUUUUUAAUUCUCAAGUUAGUUAACAUACAGUGUCGUCUUGGCUUCUUGAGUAGAACCAGUGAUUCAUCUAUUACAUAUGACAGGCAGUGCUCAUCUGAAGAGUGCCCUCCUUAAUGCCUGUCACCCAUUUAACCCACCCCUCCACCCUGAUCAACCCUCAUUUUAUUCUCUGUAUUUAAGACCCACUUAUGGUUUGCCUCCCUCUCUGUUUUUAUCUUAUUUUUCCUUCCCUUAUGUUCAUCUGUUAAGCUUCUCAAAUUCCACAUGAGUGAAAUCAUAUG